rnacentral:rRNA from 1 species
UACGUAGGGGGCGAGCGUUGUCCGGAUUCAUUGGGCGUAAAGAGCUUGUAGGCGGUUUGUCGCGUCUGCUGUGAAAUUUCGGGGCUCAACCCCGAACUUGCAGUGGGUACGGGCAGACUAGAGUGUGGUAGGGGAGACUGGAAUUCCUGGUGUAGCGGUGAAAUGCGCAGAUAUCAGGAGGAACACCGAUGGCGAAGGCAGGUCUCUGGGCCAUAACUGACGCUGAGAAGCGAAAGCAUGGGGAGCGAACAGG